AGUACAAGCCAUCACUGCGAAAUUAUGCGUUGGUUCUAUUAAACUAUGAGCUCAACGAUACAUUAUCCGAAAUCGGUGUUAUAGAUUCGACUAAAAGUCUAUAACUUGGCAUAUUUGCCAUGACUACUGCUCUGUUACAUAUCUCCAUCUUUUUCUCUCCUUUAAACGCUUCGCCAGAUAAUAUAUACAAGAAAACCAUUAAUAUCCAGUCUCUGUCGAGUCCUAGGAUUGCUUCUUUCAAUCAAAACAGAUUCAAAUUAAGGGCUAGUAGGGAGAAAUGGAGCCUCUUCGAAGUGGGGAAGGAGCAAGAUGGGAUCUUGAUGAAAGAUAAGGGGUGGGAGAAGAAGAGGAGAGUGGUUUUGGUGAGGUUUAAUCAAGGAUUUGGUUUUAAUGGUGGCGGUGGUGGAGGUGAAGGUGGGAGAGAUGAUAGUAGUACUGUUAGGCUUCUUGGAAACGUUGCUUUGGCUAUUGGGUUAACUUAUCUUUCAAUGACCGGACAGAUUGGCUGGGUUUUUGAUGCUAUUGGCUGGGUUUUGGAUGCUCUUAUUUCUCUCUGGCUCCUGGCAGUACUAGUACCCAUUGUUGGUUUGGGAGCUUUCCUCUGGUGGGCAGGUCGGGAUAUACUUCAAGGAACUUGCCCAAAUUGUGGAAAUGAUUUUCAGAUUUUCAAAUCAACUCUAAAUGACGAAUUGCAGCUGUGCCCCUUUUGCAGUCAACCAUUCUCAGUGGUAGGAGAUGAGUUUGUGAGUGAUUCUGUGAAGUUCUCCAACAGUUCUACAAUGUUUGGACAAGCAUUCAAUGAGUUCUCUGCUGGUUUCAAGAAAGGAAAAGACUCUUCUUCAGCAGUUGUAGACAUUGAAGCUGAAAUAAAAGAUGCAGAAUGAGACCCCAUAAACAUAUACCCUGGUUUGCACUCAGACUCUUCAACUGCAGUUAUAGAACAAUAUUAUCCGAGUUAAAUGGCAGGUGAUGCUGCUGAAUGUUGCCAUAAUCAAUUGAAACUACCCUAAGCACACAGUUUAUCAUCAAGCUGUAGAGUACUAGCAAGACUAGUUGAAUAGAAGUUGCUAAUUCUAUUCUGAGUUUUGGCUAUGUUGUGUUUUCCGUGAUAGAUAUGUAGCCUGUAUAUCAUGCGAAGUAUCAUUUUCUUGCCCCUGUGAGAUUGUGUUCACUUCCAGAGCUCUUACGAUGGAAAUUGUAGAAAUUGUUUUGAUUUGUAUAGAAUAAAUAGUCAUAAAACAACCGUUUAGAUAAAUUCUCGGUUGAUUUGUGGGGCUACCUAUCUGAUGUUGCAUCGGGACUGUUUAACGUACGUUAUCUUAUCAGUA